GUUUUAGUUGCGUUUGUGCGCUGGUAAGUCGAGCAUCGGUUUCGUCAUGGAUUGGUCGCUGAUUUUCCGCUUGUUCGCACACAAUUAUCACCGAUCAAACUUAAGUCCCUGGUUGCUGCUGCUCUUUGGCGCGAUCUUCGUGUUAACGCUGUGCGGCUACUGUUAUUUUUGCCAUCGGUUCAUACGCGAGCGUCGUCGGCUUCGAUCGGGAAAUCGGCAGCAACGACCACAGCCGCUGUCACGUCUAUCGGUCAGCCCGGGCUGUCAGCACAUUGUCAACACCAAGCUGGCGCACACGAAUAAUCUCGCUGAGGUUUACUAAGCUAGGAGUACGGAAUUUUAGCUGUUGAGAGGCUAACUUAAAGAACGGUAGGGAAAUGGAAUAAUCAGUGGAAGAUUCUAAAGAGCAAAUUAUAUUUUGGCGUCAGCAUCCACUGAUCCGAACGAAAGUCUACACGAGCGGCGGGCAGCGCUGCUCGCAGUGAAGGAACGCGGUGGAGCAGCGCAGUCCAAAAUGAAGGAGUGCGUCUGGAAGCUUUGACCGAAUUGAUGAAGAGCGACUGGCAGCGCUGCCUGAAAUGAUGGAGAGCGGCGAGCAGCGCUGCAGCAGCUGGUAGCUAGCGUCUGGAGCUGGCAGCUGGAUGAAUUCAUAUUUUAGAUCUAAGUUUGAUUUCUACCAAGCCAGUCGUGGCCUGCAAUAAGUAAUUGAGUUAACUAAUAAUCUCAUGAUUUUACAUACAGCCUUCCGUCAUAGUUUCACGUCAAUGUUUACAUUCAUGGAAUUUAUUUGUACUCUUUUAGCUUCGGCCUUCACCAUGGAACUCAACAUAAGAGAUAACCAAAUCAGCAUGGUGUACUUGGUCGGUGCACCAAUCUUCGUGUCCCUGCUGCUCGUUCACUUCUACUACUGCUGGCUGAGUGUACGCGAGUGUCACCGCUCAAGGGUGAGAGGGGAGCAUCGUCUGCUGCUCUCGCGCGCCCACGCGUCUGUAGUACUGCAAGUUGAGGUCUUUUGACAAACGGAACGGUUCGGCUGAAUGUGACUCAUUCAUUAAACUGGACUUAUCGCCAAACUGGGGGGGUCGGUUCUUAUCUUUCAUUCUGAGUUUGCUUGAAAUGCUGUGAAAUGUGGUAAAUUAAUAUUUAUAUAGUUCUGAUUUGCCAUAUUAAUACUAAGAAUAGAUGUACUUACAUUAUAUUAUAUAGCGGUUAAAGUCAUUAUGUAAAUUUCUGUAUUUGUGGUAC
rnacentral:lncRNA from 1 species